rnacentral:rRNA from 1 species
GACGAACGCUGGCGGCGUGCUUAACACAUGCGAGUCGAACGGAAAGGCCCUGCUUUUGUGGGGUGCUCGAGUGGCGAACGGGUGAGUAACACGUGAGUAACCUGCCCUUGACUUUGGGAUAACUUCAGGAAACUGGGGCUAAUACCGGAUAGGAGCUCCUGCUGCAUGGUGGGGGUUGGAAAGUUUCGGCGGUUGGGGAUGGACUCGCGGCUUAUCAGCUUGUUGGUGGGGUAGUGGCUUACCAAGGCUUUGACGGGUAGCCGGCCUGAGAGGGUGACCGGCCACAUUGGGACUGAGAUACGGCCCAGACUCCUGCGGGAGGCAGCAGUGGGGAAUAUUGCACAAUGGGCGGAAGCCUGAUGCAGCAACGCCGCGUGCGGGAUGACGGCCUUCGGGUUGUAAACCGCUUUCGCCUGUGACGAAGUGUGAGUGACGGUAAUGGGUAAAGAAGCACCGGCUAACUACGUG